rnacentral:rRNA from 1 species
AGAUUGAACGCUGGCGGCAGACCUAACACAUGCAAGUCGAGCGGCAGCACGGGUACUUGUACCUGGUGGCGAGCGACGGACGGGUGAGUAAUGCCUAGGAAUCUGCCUGGUAGUGGGGGAUAACGCUCGGAAACGGACGCUAAUACCGCAUACGUCCUACGGGAGAAAGCAGGGGACCUUCGGGCCUUGCGCUAUCAGAUGGGCCUAGGUCGGAUUAGCUAGUUGGUGAGGUAAUGGCUCACCAAGGCGACGAUCCGUAACUGGUCUGAGAGGAUGAUCAGUCACACUGGAACUGAGACACGGUCCAGACUCCUACGGGAGCAGCAGUGGGGAAUAUUGGACAAUGGGCGAAAGCCUGAUCCAGCAAUGCCGCGUGAGUGAUGAAGGCCUUAGGGUGUAAAGC